GACGAACGCUGGCGGCGUGCUUAACACAUGCAAGUCGAACGGUAAGGCCCUUCGGGGUACACGAGUGGCGAACGGGUGAGUAACACGUGGGUGAUCUGCCCUGCACUUCGGGAUAAGCCUGGGAAACUGGGUCUAAUACCGGAUAGGACCACUGCCUGCAUGGGUGGUGGGGGAAAGCUUUUGCGGUGUGGGAUGGGCCCGCGGCCUAUCAGCUUGUUGGUGGGGUAAAGGCCCACCAAGCCGACGAUCUGUAGCUGGUCUGAGAGGGUGACCGGCCACACUGGGACUGGGAUACGGCCCAGACUCCUACGGGAGGCAGCAGUGGGGAAUAUUGCACAAUGGGCGCAAGCCUGAUGCAGCGACGCCGCGUGAGGGAUGACGGCCUUCGGGUUGUAAACCUCUUUCAGCACCGACGAAGCGCAAGUGACGGUAGGUGCAGAAGAAGGACCGGCCAACUACGUGCCAGCCGCCGCGGUAA
rnacentral:rRNA from 1 species